UGGUCGAAGUUUUUCAGCUUUAGUGUUUGUCUCGUGGUUUUUGACUUUAUUGUACGCCCGCAGUAAUAACUGUUAACCUAUCAUGUGGGUAACGUUGUACUCGGUGGCAUUUUUAAGUGGAAGCUCUUUAGAGCUAAUAAGCGUUAGCCUAGCAGGCGUCAUCCACGUGCAACAGGUCGCGUGUUGGCCUGCAGAUCGUUAGAUCCUGUUUUAAAAGCAGCCUCAGUGCAGUUUAGUCCCGCUUACAUAUGAUGACAUAAUGUUGCUAGGGACAUCUGAGUCGAUGUGAAGUAAAGGCAACAUUCCUGACAAGACGGGGCAAAGGCUGUAAGAAACUGUGGGCCGAGCAGCUUAGCUGCACGGCUCCUGCUGCUGGCCAUGCAGCGUGUUUAGUGGGUGUAUAAAAUUGUGUGAAGUUAUGAGGAUUUUAAUUAAAAAUAUGUUUAACCUUCCUGUCGUGUUUGGGUUAAAUCUGACAGAUUUACACCUUAAAACACUCAAAAAUAUUGCAGUGAAUUUUGAGCCGGAGCACUAAAGGGGAUGGAUGUGAACACGACAGGAGGGUUUAAAUGUUUGCAGGUCUACAGACGGAUCCUCAAAGAUGAAGGAUCACGAUGCUCAUCCUGACUUCUCGAAAUCAGCAGAUGCUCGAUGGUGCUGUGAAAGACCAGAGAUAUGACUUGUCUGUAGGGGACUGAGGAGGUGUCCUCAGGUCCGAGUCCUAUCGCUAACAGAUGGUCCUGAUGUUGGAUCCAGAUGUGCAUUCUUGGAUCAGCUGCAGAAAGAGUCCCACAAAAGGCAAAGUGGAGAUGUGAACACCUUGCUGUCUGACUCGUUGCUGCUCUGCUGAACGAGCGGGCUCGCGACUCAUCACCAUUCAGAAGAUUAAACACUCAUGGUUGUAAUCUGUGUGAGGGAUGGAGAAGACCCAGUGUGGACGAAACCAGAGUGACUGAGAAGGAGAAAAGAUCAAGUUCUUUACCUGGUGUGAAGCCUCAGGCACUGAAGCACAAUCAAGCACAAGUCUGUCACUUCAUAAUAAAUCUAAAUGGUACAGUCUGGUGCUGCUUCCUCAAAAGCUGGAAAGGGAUGUUAUGUUGACAGACUUUCACCUGCAGGAAUCCGUUUUCAGACACUGCUCAUGCUAUUACGUGUGGAUUGUGACCUGAUCCUGUUGACGUCAAUUUGUAACAUAAUAAAAUAUUUUUGACCCA